rnacentral:rRNA from 1 species
UACGGGGGGGAGCAAGCGUUGUUCGGAUUUACUGGGCGUAAAGGGCGCGUAGGCGGUCAGCACAAGUCAGUUGUGAAAUCUCCGGGCUUAACCCGGAACGGUCAACUGAUACUGUGCGACUAGAGUGCGGGAAGGGCAACUGGAAUUCUCGGUGUAGCGGUGAAAUGCGUAGAUAUCGAGAGGAACACCUGCGGCGAAGGCGGGUUGCUGGGCCGACACUGACGCUGAUGCGCGAAAGCCAGGGGAGCGAACGGG